rnacentral:lncRNA from 1 species
CUGGGAUCAAGGUCAAGCCUACAGAAAAGGUGAAGGCAAUGGGCUGUUCUUUGAGAAGAGAACAGAAGCUCAAGGAGGCACUUCGGACAGGACAAUUGGAAAAGAAAGUUCCUUGGGAAUGCUGACUGGAGCAGCUAAGAUUGUAAGGAGCCAAGCCAAGCCAAGCGUUUCAGAUAUUAGUUAUUAAAUGUCUCCCACAAGCCCAUAGGGAGGUCUUAUGAUGAUCUCCAAAGUACAGAUGAGGAAACGGUCAGCUCAGACUCAGAGAGGUGAAGUAACCAACUCAGGGUCACACAGCUAGGAAGACACUGAUAAACUCAAGAUUCCAACCUGGGUCUAUCUCUUUUUCAACCUUUGUUCUAUUGACAUUUUGAACGGGAUAAUUCUUUGUUGUGAAGGACUGUUCUGUGCAUUGUUGGCUGUUUCACAGUAUCCCUGGUCUCUGCUUGCUAGGUGCCAGUAGCAUCCUCCCCCUCUUCCCAGUCGUGAC